rnacentral:rRNA from 1 species
UACAGAGGGUGCAAGCGUUAAUCGGAAUUACUGGGCGUAAAGCGUGCGUAGACGGUUAUUUAAGUCGGGUGUGAAAGCCCCGGGCUCAACCUGGGAAUUGCAUUCGAGACUGGAUAGCUAGGGUACGGUAGAGGGAAGUGGAAUUUCCGGUGUAGCGGUGAAAUGCGUAGAUAUCGGAAGGAACAUCAGUGGCGAAAGCGACUUCCUGGACCAGUACCGACGUUCAGGCACGAAAGCGUGGGGAGCAAACAGG